rnacentral:rRNA from 1 species
UCAGUAACCGUGGAUAACUUAACCUUAGGUCCGGCAUAACCCCGGGAAACUGGGAUAACUCCGGAUGUAUCAAGGAUGCUGGAAUCCCUUGGUUCAAAGCUUUUGUGCCUAAGGAUAGGUCUGCGGUCUAUCAGGUUGUAGUGGGUGUAACGUACCUACUAGCCGACGACGGAUACGGGUUGUGAGAGCAAGAGCCCGGAGAUGGAUUCUGAGACAAGAAUCCAGGCCCUACGGGGUGCAGCAGGCGCGAACACUUUACAAUGCGGGAAACCGCGAUAAGGGAACCCCGAGUGCCAGUACUAAGUGCUGGCUGUCUAGAUGAAUAGAUAUCAUUUAAUAGCAAGGGCCGGGCAAGACCGGUGCCAGCCGCCGCGGUAACACCGGCGGCCCGAGUGGUAACCGCUAUUAUUGGGUCUAAAGGGUCCGUAGCCUGUUUAAUAAGUCCUUUGGGAAAUCUGGCAGCUUAACUGUCAGGCUGCUAAAGGAUACUGUUAAACUUGGGACCGGUAGACGUAGGGGGUACUCCAGGGGUAGGAGUGAAAUCUUGUAAUCCCUGGGGGACCAUCUGUGGCGAAGCGCCCUACGAGAACGGGUCCGACGGUGAGGGACGAAAGCUAGGGGAGCAAACCGGGAUUAGAUACCCGGGUAGUCCUAGCUGUAAACGAUGCUCGCUAGGUGUCAGGCACGGUGCGAUCGUGUCUGGUGCC